rnacentral:rRNA from 1 species
GACGAACGCUGGCGGCGUGCCUAAUACAUGCAAGUCGAGCGGAAAGGCCCUGCUUUUGUGGGGUGGUCGAGUGGCGAACGGGUGAGUAACACGUGAGUAACCUGCCCUUGACAUUGGGAUAACUUCAGGAAACUGGGGCUCAUACCGGAUAGGAGCUAUUGAUGCAUGUUGGGGGUUGGAAAGAUUCGGUGGUUGGGGAUGGACUCGCGGCGUAUGAGCUGGUUGGUGAGGUAGUGGAUUACCAAGGCUACGAUGGGUAGCCGGCCUGAGCGGGGGAACGGCCACACUGGGACUGAGACACGGUCCAGAAGCCUACGGGAGGCAGCAGUAGGGAAUCGGCAGCAAGGGGCGAAAGCCUGACGGAGCAACGCCGCGUGAGUGAUGAAGGGCGUCGGAUCGUAAAACUCUGUUAUUAGGGAAGAACAAAUGUGUAAGUAACUGUGCGCGUCUUGAGGGUACCUAAUCAGAAAGCCACGGCUAACUACGUG